AUGAACGCUAGCGGCAGGGCUUAACACAUGCAAGUCGAGAGGCAGCAUGUCCAGCAAUGGAUGAUGGCGACCGGCGGAAGGGUGCGUAACGCGUGAGCAACAUGCCCUAUACAGGGAGAUACACCAGGGAAACUUGGUCUAAUAUCCCAUAGCAUUCAUUGAAGGCAUCUUUAAUGAAUUAAAGCUUCGGUGGUAUAGGAUUGGCUCGCGUGACAUUAGCCAGAUGGUGAGGUAACGGCUCACCAUAGCAAUGAUGUCUAGGGGUUUUGAGAGGAAGGCCCCCCACACUGGGACUGAGACACGGCCCAGACUCCUACGGGAGGCAGCAGUGAGGAAUAUUGGACAAUGGAUGGAAAUCUGAUCCAGCCAUGCCGCGUGCAGGAAGACGGCCUUAUGGGUUGUAAACUGCUUUUAUACGGGAGCAAUAAGGGUUACGAGUAAUCCGAUGAGAGUACUGUAUGAAUAAGGAUCGGCUAACUCCGUGCCAGCAGCCGCGGUAAUACGGAGGAUCCGAGCGUUAUCCGGAAUUAUUGGGUUUAAAGGGUGCGUAGGCGGCCAUUUAAGUCAGCGGUGAAAUUUUGCAGCUUAACUGUAACAGUGCCGUUGAUACUGUUUGGCUAGGAUUUGGUUGUAGUGUGCGGAAUGUGUGGUGUAGCGGUGAAAUGCUUAGAUAUCACACAGAACACCGAUUGCGAAGGCAGCACACUAAGUCAUUAUUGACGCUGAGGCACGAAAGUGUGGGGAUCAAACAGGAUUAGAUACCCUGGUAGUCCACACUGUAAACGAUGAUAACUCGCUGUCGGCGAUACACAGUCGGUGGCCCAAGCGAAAGCCAU
rnacentral:rRNA from 1 species